AUGGCACCCAAGGCGGAGAAGAAGCCGGUGGCCACGGAGAAGGCUCCAGCGGGGAAGAAGCCCAAGGCAGAGAAGCGGCCGCCGGCGUCCAAGGAGGGCGGCGAGAAGAAGGGCAAGAAGAAGUCCAAGAAGAGCGUGGAGACGUACAAGAUCUACAUCUUCAAGGUGCUCAAGCAGGUGCACCCGGACAUCGGCAUCUCCUCCAAGGCCAUGUCCAUCAUGAACUCCUUCAUCAACGACAUCUUCGAGAAGCUCGCCGGCGAGUCCGCCAAGCUCGCCCGCUACAACAAGAAGCCCACCAUCACCUCCCGGGAGAUCCAGACCUCCGUCCGCCUCGUCCUCCCCGGCGAGCUCGCCAAGCACGCCGUCUCCGAGGGCACCAAGGCCGUCACCAAGUUCACCUCAGCCUAG
rnacentral:rRNA from 1 species